GUGCUUGCUUCGGCAGCACAUAUACUAAAAUUGGAAUGAUACAGAGAAGAUUAGCAUGGCCCCUGCGCAAUAAGUGCCCUGGAGCAAGGCAGUAUUGAUAAGUAUU